AGAAGAAGUAAGAAAGCAUAAGCAAAACCAGAGGAGAGAAAGAAAAUGGCGGCAAUAGUAUGUUAUGGUCCUCUAAUCGACCUCUCUAAAGCAGCAGGUCACAUCGACGAGUACGUCCAACUCCUCGUUUUUGUUCACAAUAUCACCCCAAUUCAGUACAAGCUAUGGAGGAGAAAAGGUGGAGCAGAGGUCAUAAGGACCGACAUACAGGUGGCUGACGAUACCCGUCCAUUUUUUCCUGUUACAAUAUGGAACAAGCAAUUGGCCUCCACAUUGGUUGCUGGAGAUAUCGUUUUGCUUCAAACUUCUCAAACAUAGUAUGCAGCAUAGAAUUUGUUUGUGGUGUAAUAGUGCUCACUGGUGAACAUAUUAAUCAGCAUUGUUAAAAACUCUUGAAUAUAUGUUAAGAUUACAAGAGUUAGCGGAUUAAUUGAGGCUAGAACUGUACAUUGCUCAACUUUGCAAUGUAUAGUCCAUUCAUACAAGUCAAUUGCUUCUAAAGGUACUCUCUUCUCUCUUUCUCUCUUUCUCUUUCUCUCUCUACAACUCAUAAGGUUCUUCGAUACAUUAUCUUUGGUAGAUAUGAUCAAGCUUUGGAGUAUCAGGAAUACAUGACUAGAUCAAUUGUUGUAGAGGGUGUGACUAGAAUUGAAAAAGAAGUCCUUAAUGUCUGUCUAGCAUUUACUGAUUUCCAGGGGGCAGAGCCCAAGAAGACUGCAUGUUUAGAUGCCAAAUAUAUG